CCGGCGCACGGGUGAGUAACACGUAUCCAACCUGCCGUCUACUCUUGGCCAGCCUUCUGAAAGGAAGAUUAAUCCAGGAUGGGAUCAUGAGUUCACAUGUCCGCAUGAUUAAAGGUAUUUUCCGGUAGACGAUGGGGAUGCGUUCCAUUAGAUAGUAGGCGGGGUAACGGCCCACCUAGUCAACGAUGGAUAGGGGUUCUGAGAGGAAGGUCCCCCGCAUUGGAACUGAGACACGGUCCAA
rnacentral:rRNA from 1 species